rnacentral:lncRNA from 1 species
GUUUUCUUUUUUGGGUGUGUUAAAUAAACAUAUGACAUGCCCAUAAUCCCAACAACUCAGGAGGCUGAAGCAGAAGAAUUGCUGGGGCCUAAGUGUUCCAAGCCAGCUUGGGUGAUGUAGUGAGACCCUGUCUCUAAAUAAUAAAUAAACUUAUUAGAAAGUUUCCCAAAAGAGUAUGACAGACUUUCCCAAAUUUAACAUGAUUGUGAUAACUGAUGGUUUUUAGUGGGGAGGGAAUGCACGUUGUUCCUUUAAUUUGAAGAGGUCACAAACAUAACUUGUUAUUCUUGUUUCUAAGGAAAAAGCCUGACAUCAAGGUAGCCACAUGUAGGAAAUAGGAGAAGAAAGUGCUCUAAGAAUAUAAUGCUGACAGUGCUUGAGUUUUGAGAUGAGUAUUAUAUGCAUAAUAUAUUUCCCUUACUAUUUGAGGAAAAUAGACAUAAAUGAUUUCAGAGCAUCUGGUUUUUUAUUAAUUCACAGCGUUUCCCCUGUACAGAUUCAGUACAGUACCUGCUUGCAUCAUUCUUCUCAAACAAAGACUAAAUAAUGACAUAAUCCUCAGCUGACUGACUGAAAAUGUGACUGGACGCACUCCCUGUGGACAGCUGACAGCUUUUUUUUUUUAUAUACCUGAUAGUCUGCAAAACAUUGUUUUAUCUGGGAGUCAGGGGUGGCUGACAUGUAUUAUAAAAUCCAUAUCUUAAUGCUAAAACCAAUAUCGUAGUUGUUUCUCAGAAUAAUACGUUGUUAUGUGUGGGAGAAAUGAAGUUUCUUAGAGAAAAAAAGCUAUGUUGUUAUGUACAGCAGAAAUAAAGUUUUCCUUGUUAAAUAAAUCAUGACUUUGGUCAGUCCUCAUAAUUGAUCGAAAACCUGGCUCCCUACAGUUUUACCUACUAGUCCUUAGCUUUUCCACAUGCUGCAUGGGAGAAGUUAAAUCUCACUCGCUCACAUUGUAGCUAUUACAUAUGUUCCUGCUCUCCAAGUUUUCUGUUGGAAUUAGGUGAUUCUGGUGGCUGGCUGCAUGUAAGGUCAGGCAGCCACUCCCAGCAGAGAGGUGUGGUGUCAGUAGGGCGCCUGGCCUAAGUGUCUUUCUUUGAGUUCUUCAUACAAAUUUGAAAGAGACCUAUUUAAUACCUCUCAGUGAAACAUUUCUGUGCUAUUUCAGUG